ACCAAAUGUGUAAUGGUUGGCGUACUUUUGAAUUUCUUCGUCGUUCAAAAAAGUGGGUCAAUGCAAUGGUUUAGUGAGUUGGGUUGUUGAAAACAAGGGAAUGAGGAGUAUGUAUGUUGCAUGAAUGGAAAAGUGUGAAGAAUCAAUGUUUACAGCAUGGGUACAACUUAUGGAUCAUAAGGUUGACAAAUGAUAACUAACAGAUCAUUUAUUUUAGAUUUGCUUCUUUCAGUAAUUCUUUACUUUGGCACCAUGGGUUCAUUUAUGAUUUAUUAACUAUUCGACUUCAGUCUUCUAUGGUUACCCCUUCAAGAGUGGUUCAGUAUGAUGAUGACGGUGAAAGAUGGAAACAAAUUGAUUUUGAUAAGCAAGGAGCGUAUUUAUUUAAAUAGGUGAAGAUAAAGAAGUGAGCGCAGAAUGCAUUGUGCUCAUGGGUGAGGGCGUACAGCGUGCAUCGCGGGGAGUUGAAGAGUAUAUUCAUUGUGAAAAAGCUUCAUUUGAGACACGUGGCGAAAAGUUUUGCACUGAAGGAGCAGCCGUCCGUCACUGGUGGGGAGAUCGGUUCAGAAGAAGCACACAGAAAAGAGGAAAAGGACACACAAAGUAAAAGAAGGUUUGAAAAAGAAGAGAAAGAUGGCAAACCUGGAGGAGGGAGAUUGAGUUGGCAAAUGAAUGGUGAAAGAUGAUUGAUGGUGAAGGUGCAAAUUGCAAGCAAGCAGCUGGCUGGCUGGAAGGAGAAUAGAAUGAAUGUUUUGACAACCACCAAAACAAGUAAUUAUAUUACAUUACUGAGAAUGAGAUGAUGGAUAAUGUUAUUUGAGUUUCAAUUGAUAAUUAGGUUCCUGUUAAUACUUUGCGUUUCUUAAAUUGGUGUAAUGUUUGGUUUUUAUGCAAUUGAAUUUGGUGAUUUCAAA